GGUCUUCUAGUUUAGUGGUUAGAACAUCCGUCUGAUACGCGGGAAAACGAGGUUCGAUUCCUAGGAGGACUA
rnacentral:tRNA from 1 species